GACGAACGCUAGCGGCGUGCCUAAUACAUGCAAGUAGAACGCAGUUGCGAACGGGUGAGUAACGCGUAGGUAACUGCCUCAUAGCGGGGGAUAACUAUUGGAAACGAUAGCUAAUACCGCAUCCUGUGAGAUGGACCUGCGUUGUUUUAGCUAGUUGGUGAGGUAAAGGCUAACCAAGGCGACGAUGCAUAGCCGCCCUAAGAGGUUGAGCGGCAACCCGGGGACUGAGAUGAGGCCUAGACUCCGACGGGAGGCAGCAGUAGGGAAUCUUCGGCAAUGGACGAAAGUCUGAACGAGCAACGCCGCGUGAGUGAAGAAGGUUUUCGGAUCGUAAAACUCUGUUGUUAGAGAAGCGGUAUCUAACCAGAAAGCACCGGCUAACUACGUGCCAGCAGCCGCGGUAAUUC
rnacentral:rRNA from 1 species